AUGUAUACACACACACAAAGCAUCAACCUCCCUAUAUUCAAACUUCUGUCAUUGAUAUUUCUGAACGUUUUGAGCAUGCUCCCAGGUUUUCAAACAGUAUACAGGGACUUCCAUGCACGAACAGCCAGCAUCAGUCGUGGCAACGCCUCUUUCUCCGGCAAACCGAACUUCACUCAUGUGUACAGAAUACAUGAUUUAAGCCCUGAAAAAACAAAAAAGAAUCUUGAAAUAUUUUUGUUCUACCCUGAACACACACUCAUCUCAUGUCAAAGUUAUUGCAGUAUUAGAUUAGUAGCAUGA
rnacentral:rRNA from 1 species